UGACCGGACCCUUCGGGGAGGCUUGCACAGGUGCUGCAUGGCUGUCGUCAGCUCGUGUCGUGAGAUGUUCGGUUAAGUCCGCUAACGAGCGCAACCCUCGCUGUGUGUUAUAUGUGUCACACGGGACUGCCGGUCUUAAGCCGGAGGAAGGUGGGGAUGAUGUCAAGUCAGCAUGGCCUUUAUAUCCUGGGCUACACACACGCUACAAUGGCCAACACAAUAGGUUGCUAAGCCGCGAGGUGGCGCCAAUCCAUAAAGUUGGUCUCAGUUCAGAUUGUAGGCUGCAACCCGCCUGCAUGAAGAUGGAGUUGCUAGUAACCGCAGGUCAGCUAUACUGCGGUGAAUACGUUCCCGGGGCUU
rnacentral:rRNA from 1 species